GACGAACCGUGCGGACGUUAUUCGAAAUCACUGGGCUUAAAGCGCGUGUAGGCGGCCCGGCACGUCCGUCGCUGAAAUCCCCCGGCUCAACCGGGGAAGUGGCGUGGAUACGACCGGGCUGGAGGGGGGUAGGGGGAGCCGGAACUUCCGGUGGAGCGGUGAAAUGCGUUGAGAUCGGAAGGAACGCCCGUGGCGAAAGCGGGCUCCUGGACCCACCUGACGCUGAGACGCGAAAGCCAGGGGAGCGAACGGG
rnacentral:rRNA from 1 species